rnacentral:rRNA from 1 species
CUGGCUCAGGACGAACGCUGGCGGCACGCUUAACACAUGCAAGUCGAACGGAGAAUAUUUGAGUUUACUUAGAUAUUCUUAGUGGCGGACGGGUGAGUAACACGUGAGCAACCUACCUUAGA